rnacentral:rRNA from 1 species
CACACGUAGUCGGGUUGAAUAUACUCAGGCGCUUGAGUGAAUCACGGUUAAGGAACUAGGCAAAUUGACCCUGUAACUUCGGGAUAAAGGGUCCCUACCCGGUGACGGGAGGGCGCAGAGAAUAGGUCCAGGCAACUGUUUAACAAAAACACAGGGCUGUGCAAAAUUGAAAGAUCACGUAUACAGCCUGACACCUGCCCGGUGCUGGAAGGUUAAGAGGAGAUGUCAUCGCAAGAGAAGCAUUGAAUUGAAGCCCCAGUAAACGGCGGCCGUAACUAUAACGGUCCUAAGGUAGCGAAAUUCCUUGUCGGGUAAGUUCCGACCUGCACGAAUGGUGUAAUGAUCUGGACACUGUCUCAACCGUGAGCUCAGUGAAAUUGUAGUAUCGGUGAAGAUGCCGAUUACCCGCGAUGGGACGAAAAGACCCCGUGAACCUUUACUAUAGCUUAACAUUGAAUUUGGGUAAUUGAUGUGUAGGAUAGGCCGGAGACUUUGAAGCGGGUACGCCAGUAUUCGUGGAGUCGCUGUUGAAAUACGGCCCUUUGGUUAUUUGAGUUCUAACUCGCUGAUGCGAGGACACUGUUUGGUGGGUAGUUUGACUGGGGUGGUCGCCUCCAAAAGCGUAACGGAGGCUUCUAAAGGUGCCCUCACGCCGAUUGGUAACCGGCGGUAGAGUGUAAUGGCAUAAGGGCGCUUGACUGGGAGACUUACAAGUCGAUCAGGUAGGAAACUAGAGCAUAGUGAUCCGGUGUUUCCGUAUGGAAGGGACAUCGCUCAAAGGAUAAAAGGUACUCCGGGGAUAACAGGCUGAUCCCUCCCAAGAGCUCAUAUCGACGGAGGGGUUUGGCACCUCGAUGUCGGCUCGUCACAUCCUGGGGCUGGAGAAGGUCCCAAGGGUUGGGCUGUUCGCCCAUUAAAGUGGCACGCG